UACGAAGGGGGCUAGCGUUGCUCGGAAUCACUGGGCGUAAAGCGCACGUAGGCGGCUUUCUAAGUCAGGGGUGAAAUCCUGGAGCUCAACUCCAGAACUGCCUUUGAUACUGGAGAGCUCGAGUCCGGAAGAGGUGAGUGGAACUGCGAGUGUAGAGGUGAAAUUCGUAGAUAUUCGCAAGAACACCAGUGGCGAAGGCGGCUCACUGGUCCGGUACUGACGCUGAGGUGCGAAAGCGUGGGGACAAACAGGAUUAGA
rnacentral:rRNA from 1 species